UACAGGGGGUGCAAGCGUUAUCCGGAAUGAUUGGGCGUAAAGCGUCUGUAGGUGGUUCUUGAAGUCUACUGUCAAAUCCCAGAGCUCAACUUUGGACAGGCAGUGGAGUACUCAAGGGCUUGAGUUCGGUAGGGGUAGAGGGAAUUCCUAGUGGAGCAGUGAAAUGCACAGAGAUUAGGAGGAACACCAGUGGCGAAAGCGCUCUACUAGGCCGAAACUGACACUGAGAGACGAUAGCUGAGGGAGCGAAAAGG
rnacentral:rRNA from 1 species